GGAAAGGAAGGGUGAAUACCAAUUUCAACUGAAAGCUGUGCUCAACCUGCAUUUACAACUCCAGUCUGCCUAUAUUAGGUAUAUAGCAGUUCACUGCAGCCACAUACCCAGAAUAUCAUUGUUUCUGGAUCUCUUCUCUGGGACGAAUCAUGGUGUGUGGUCAGUUUUGAUUCCUGCUUUCUACUCUUCAGUUUUACAAGGAACAGGGAGGAUCUGCUCCAUGUAAAUACAGACUGACUUCUGGAAUGUGAAUGUCCAACAUUGGUGUGAUAUUCCCUUCUGGAGGAGAAAGGAAAGAUGGCUUCGUGUCAGGUUCUAUUGACCUUCAUGGAUGUGGCUUUAGAGUUCUCUAAGGAGGAUUGGGAACGUCUGGAUUCUGCUCAGAGGGCUUUGUACAGAGAUGUUAUGUUGGAGAAUUACAACAACCUGGUUUCUGUGGGUGUUGCAGUUUCAAAACCAGAGGUAAUUACCUGCCUUGAAGAAAACAAAGAUCCAUGGAUUGUUGAUAGAAAUGGAACAGAAGGAAGAGCACCAGGUUCUAUUGACCUUCAUGGAUGUGGCUUUAGAGUUCUCUAAGGAGGAGUGGGAACGUCUGGAUUCUGCUCAGAGAGCUUUGUACAGAGAUGUCAUGUUGGA
rnacentral:lncRNA from 1 species